rnacentral:rRNA from 1 species
UACGUAGGGUGCGAGCGUUAAUCGGAAUUACUGGGCGUAAAGCGUGCGCAGGCGGUUUUGUAAGCCAGAUGUGAAAUCCCCGGGCUCAACCUGGGAAUGGCAUUUGGGACUGCAAGGCUGGAGUAUGGCAGAGGGGACUGGAAUUCCUGGUGUAGCAGUGAAAUGCAUAGAUAUCAGGAGGAAUACCGAUGGCGAAGGCAGGUCCCUGGGCUGAUACUGACGCUCAUGCACGAAAGCGUGGGGAGCAAACAGG